CAGCCGUAAACGAUGCGCGUUAGGUGUAUCGACGACCACGAGUCGUCGAGGUGCCGAAGGGAAACCGUGAAACGUGCCGCCUGGGAAGUACGGUCGCAAGGCUGAAACUUAAAGGAAUUGGCGGGGGGAGGCACCACAACAGGUGGAGCCUGCGGUUUAAUUGGACUCAACGCCGGAAAUCUCACCGGAUAAGACAGCAGAAUGAUUGCCGGGCUGAAGACUCUGCAUGACUAGCUGAGAGGAGGUGCAUGGCGUCAGUGACU
rnacentral:rRNA from 1 species